rnacentral:rRNA from 1 species
GACGAACGCUGGCGGCGUGCUUAACACAUGCAAGUCGAGCGGUAAGGCCCUUUCGGGGUACGACGAGCGGCGAACGGGUAGAGUAACACGUGGGUGGACCUCGCCCUCCAGCUCUGGGAGUAAGCCUCGGGAAACCGGGGUACCUAAUACCGGAUAUGACUCCAUGACGCAUGUUGUGGGGUGGAAAGCCUUGUGCGGCUGAGGAUGGGCCCGGCGGCCUAUCAGCUUGUUGGUGGGGUGAUGGCCUACCAAGGCGACGACGGGUAGCCGGCCUGAGAGGGCGACCGGCCACACUGGGACUGAGACACGGCCCAGACU